CAGCAGCCGCGGGAAUACGGAGGGAGCUAGCGUUGUUCGGAAUUACUGGGCGUAAAGCGCGCGUAGGCGGUUACUCAAGUCAGAGGUGAAAGCCCGGGGCUCAACCCCGGAACUGCCUUUGAAACUAGGUGACUAGAAUCUUGGAGAGGUCAGUGGAAUUCCGAGUGUAGGGGUGAAAUUCGUAGAUAUUCGCAGGAACACCAGUGGCGAAGGCGGCUCACUGGUCCAUUACUGACGCUGAGGUGCGAAAGCGUGGGGAGCAAACAGGAUUAGAUACCCCAGUAGUCCCUGUCUCUUAUAC
rnacentral:rRNA from 1 species